rnacentral:lncRNA from 1 species
CCAAAUAAUUGUAUCUUUUAUUAUUUAUUAUUAGUGGAGAUCGGUACUAGAGGGUUUGUUGCAAAAUCAACCACGUCGCUACUGUUGGAGUUUGGUUUUAGUGGUGAGAAGAGAGAAGAAGAAAUGGGGAGAAGAGAUUUGGGGUGUAUGAGAAGAAGCGUAAAGGUGAGCAGAGUAGGUUAAAGUCAAGAAGGCAGAUGGAAAUUGAGAGGUUGGUUCAGGAAAGAAGACACCUAAAAAAGCUUUGGAAACGAGCAGAUGAGGAGGGUAGGAGUGGUAUUAAUAUCUUGCAGGAAGAAUUGAAACGUAGAUUGGUAGUGUUGAGGAGAGCGGAAAAGCUUAGAUUGAGGAGAAAGAAGAAGGAACAGGCUAGGGUGGCAUUUUUUAAGGACCCAUUUAAAUUUGUGAAGUCCUUGCUUGAGCAAGAGAAGUCUGGGUGUUUAGAUGUUCCAAGGAGGGAGUUGGAGAGCUAUCUGCGGGAAAUGCACACCGAUGGUGAAAGUGAGAGGGUUUUUGAAGUACCUGCAGAUAUUCCUCCAUUAGGGGAGAUUGUGGUACAAAUGGAUGUGUGUCCUCCAAGGUUGAAAGAAGUACAAGAGGUGGUACGGCGUGCAAGGGCAGCAUCUGCUCCAGGACCCAAUGGGGUUCCUUACCGGGUGUACAAAGGUGCCCCAGACGUCUUAAAGUUUUUGUGGAAGCAGAUGAUGGUCGUAUGGAAAAAAGGUAUUAUUCCAAAGGAAUGGCGGCGAGCAGGAGGAGUGUUUAUACCCAAAGAGAAAGAUGCGGUAGAUAUAGGGCAAUUCAGGCCAAUAUGCCUUCUUAACGUUGAAGGGAAAAUAUUUUUUAGUGUUGUGGCGCAGAGGUUGUCUGCAUAUUUGUUGGUCAACAAUUUAAUUGACACCUCUGUGCAGAAGGCAGGAAUUGCGGGUUUUUCAGGCUGUUUAGAACAUUGUAGUAUGAUUUGGCAUCAGAUGAAGGAGGCCAAGAUGGAAGGUAAAGACCUCCAUGUGAUUUUUUUGGACUUGGCAAAUGCCUUUGGUUCAGUGCCGCAUGUUUUGUUGUGGAGGGCAUUUGAUUUCUUUAAAGUCCCAGAGUGUAUUACGAGACUGGUUAAGGUGUAUUUUGAAGACAUUCAGUUUUAUUUUUGUACCAAGCAAUACACCACAUCUUGGC